UAUUCUGAUGGGGCAUCCAUUUUAAGUACAACCCAAGUAUUGAUCCACCCCAUAAUUUUAUGUAUAUUGUGCAUUACUGCUAGCCAACAUGAAUAUUAUAUA
rfam:Papio anubis isolate 1X1155 chromosome 20, whole genome shotgun sequence.